ACGGGUGCGGAACACGUGUGCAACCUGCCUUUAUCUGGGGGAUAGCCUUUCGAAAGGGAGAUUAAUACCCCAUAAUAUACUGAGUGGCAUCACUUAUUAUUGAAAACUCCGGUGGAUAGAGAUGGGCACGCGCAAGAUUAGAUAGUUGGUGAGGUAACGGCUCACCAAGUCAAUGAUCUUUAGGGGGCCUGAGAGGGUGAUCCCCCACACUGGUACUGAGACACGGACCAGACUCCUACGGGAGGCAGCAGUGAGGAAUAUUGGACAAUGGGUGAGAGCCUGAUCCAGCCAUCCCGCGUGAAGGUCGACGGCCCUAUGGGUUGUAAACUUCUUUUGUACAGGGAUAAACCUAUUUACGUGUAAAUAGCUGAAGGUACUGUACGAAUAAGCACCGGCUAACUCCGUGCCAGCAGCCGCGGUAAUACGGAGGGUGCAAGCGUUAUCCGGAUUUAUUGGGUUUAAAGGGUCCGUAGGCGGAUCCGUAAGUCAGUGGUGAAAUCUCAUAGCUUAACUAUGAAACUGCCAUUGAUACUGCGGGUCUUGAGUAAGGUAGAAGUAGCUGGAAUAAGUAGUGUAGCGGUGAAAUGC
rnacentral:rRNA from 1 species